rnacentral:lncRNA from 1 species
CAGGUUUCGUCUCAAUUUUGCCAAAAGAUAUCUUGAUGAUCCUCAAAAAAAUUGGGAAAAUACUCUGUGGAAUGACAAGUCAAAAUUGCAGAGCCAUAGAGAGAGAGAGUUGCGUCAACUCCNCACUGAUGGACACUGUACAACACUGCUGGAGACUACCCGACACUGAUGGACACUGUACCUAUAUGGACCUUACUGGAUACUAUACAAGACUUCUGUACACUUUGACACUUCUGGACCCUGCUGGACACUAUUUAAGACUUCUGGACACUAUAUGACACUGCUGGACACUUCUGGAACCUGGUGGACACUAUAUGACACUUCUGGACUCUGCUGGACACUAUAUGACACUUUGGAUUGAAGUGGAUUGAAGUAUUAUUAUCAGAAGUUAUGCACAAAGUGAUUGGAGACCCGAGAUCAUAAGCGUUGUCAUGUUUAUUAAAAUGAAGGUCUUUACAUUUUGUACAUUCCACCUACACAGGCAUUGAUUUACAAAGCAACAAACAUUUAUAAACACAGUAUUUACACAUGGUUAUAGAUGCAGUUAUAAAAUACUUGAAUGGAUAUAAAGAUGCAGUAGUCGUGGGCUGAGAUUGGACACUGUAGGUAAAGGUGGAAAAACAAUGGAGGUUUCAGGGUCUGUUUACACAUCUAGGCGUCGUCAUCUGUCUUUAACGAGGUCUGAUAACAGGAGGACAGACAGUAACAUGCGGUGUUUCCCACGUCUCCUAAACGCAUCUGCUGCGGUCACUCGGGAUCUACAGUUUUUGUACUUGAGUAUUUUAAUCUGCAUUUUGUACGUUUUAAUUAUGUUUACCUGCAUUUUGAUUAACUUGAAAUAUUUAAUGGCAUAAUUCAUACAUUUGAACUUCAACAAAAAAAAAACCCAAAAAAGCGAACUAUAUUUCCAACCAGUCUUCCAAAUAUUACAUGCCUUCAUAGAUCAUUAAAAAGGAACUAGUAUUGCAUCCUGUGACUUUUGGCAUGUCUUAUGGAAGCUACAGAAUGCUGAAUGUGGAUGUGAUUUGUGCCAGUGUCGCUUGUCUGUUUAGACAGCAAAUCUAGCCAGACACUGCCGGUCACCAUCAUUACCAGCUACUGCGCUGUCCACUGUGGGUGGUAAUGCCUUCUAUGGUGUAUUCCCUGUACACUUCUCACUGUGGAUAGAGGAAUGUAAAGUAUACUCACAACUUCAGAAAUGGCACGUCUCAUCCAUUAUCACCCACAAUCAGACUAUAAUUCACUUGGUCUUACCACGAGCAUACUGGCCAGUGUUCAAUCAACCGCACUCACAACUUAUACAGAUAUGAUAAGUUCUCAUUCUAAUUAGUGUUAAAAAUGUUCAAGUGUUGGGCCAGUGCCAGUUGCUCCAGUUUAAGAGUCAGUCUUGCUUUCUAGUCACCAAAUAAAGUACUGUCUCUUAGUCA